AACGAACGCUGGCGGCAGGCUUAACACAUGCAAGUCGAACGCUGUAGCAAUACAGAGUGGCGCACGGGUGAGUAACGCGUGGGAAUAUGCCCUUUAGUACGGAAUAACGUCGGGAAACUGACGCUAAUACCGUAUACGCCCUUCGGGGGAAAGAUUUAUCGCUAAAGGAUUAGCCCGCGUUAGAUUAGGUAGUUGGUGGGGUAAUGGCCUACCAAGCCUACGAUCUAUAGCUGGUCUGAGAGGAUGAUCAGCCACACUGGAACUGAGACACGGUCCAGACUCCUACGGGAGGCAGCAGUGGGGAAUAUUGGACAAUGGGGGAAACCCUGAUCCAGCCAUGCCGCGUGAGUGAUGAAGGCCUUAGGGUUGUAAAGCUCUUUUGUCAGGGAAGAUGAUGACGGUACCUGAAGAAUAAGCACCGGCUAACUUCGUGCCAGCCGCCGCGGUAA
rnacentral:rRNA from 1 species